rnacentral:misc_RNA from 1 species
AAAGAGGAGUUCGACAGUCAGUUCGCUCCCUCUGAUGGUGAAGAAGAUUGACCUGUGAUCUGGAUAAUGGCAACACAAUGCCAUAUAUGUAUUUGAAAUAAACAUUUAUACAUGUACCAUACAACAUAUAUAACAUGUCGCAUAUGAUGUUCCAAUGCACACUGUUUGCCAGACAGUUAAUUUGCUUUUUCUGCAGAAACAUACAGUCUCUCACUUCUAGAUGACCAUGGGUUUGAGGCUUUAUAGUGUUGUGUUAACCAGUGAAGAAAUCCUUGAUUUCUUUGUCAUUCUUCAUGUAGAGACUGGUUUCACCGUGUAGAGUGAACAUUUUACAGAAGUUAAAAUUCCUCAUUGAAAUACUGUUAUUGGUUCAAUGCUCUUGAACUUUCGGCAACCAAAAUGUCAAUACCCAAUAGAUAUGACAUCAUUGACAUAAUGUACAUGAGUGAUUGACGUAGGUUGCAAAGUUUCCCACAAUUAAGUGCAUCAAAACAAAAUAAAUGAUUUUUCUU